CGCGCCUAACUACCUUGCAGCAGCCGGUAUACGUAGGGCAGCGUGUCGAUAUUGGGCGUAAGGCGCGCGGGCAAGGCGGUCAUUUAGUCUGGUGUUUAUUCCCGGGGCUCCACCCCGGAUCGCACUGGAAACUGGGUGACUUGAGUGCAGCAGAGGAGGAGGUGGAAUUUCCACGUGUAGCGUGGAAAUGCGUAGAUAUGUGGGAGGACACCAGUGGGCGGAAGGCGGACUCUCUGGGCUGUAACUGACGCUGAGGCGCGAAAGCGUGGGGGAGCAAACAGGGAUUAGAUACCUGGUAGUCACGCCGUAAACGAUGAGUGCUAGGUGUUAGGGGUUUCGAUACCCUUGGUGCCGAAGUUAACACAUUAAGCACUCCGCCUGGGGAGUACGGUCGCAAGACUGAAACUCAAAGGAAUUGACGGGGACCCGCACAAGCAGUGGAGUAUGUGGUUUAAUUCGAAGCAACGCGAAGAACCUUACCAGGUCUUGACAUCCCUCUGACCGGUACAGAGAUGUACCUUUCCUUCGGGACAGAGGAGACAGGUGGUGCAUGGUUGUCGUCAGCUCGUGUCGUGAGAUGUUGGGUUAAGUCCCGCAACGAGCGCAACCCUUGAUCUUAGUUGCCAGCACUUCGGGUGGGCACUCUAAGGUGACUGCCGGUGACAAACCGGAGGAAGGUGGGGAUGACGUCAAAUCAUCAUGCCCCUUAUGACCUGGGCUACACACGUACUACAAUGGCCGGUACAACGGGCCGCGAAGCCGCGAGGUGGAGCUAAUCCUAAAAAGCCGGUCUCAGUUCGGAUUGCAGGCUGCAACUCGCCUGCAUGAAGUCGGAAUUGCUAGUAAUCGCGGAUCAGCAUGCCGCGGUGAAUACGUUCCCGGGUCUUGUACACACCGCCCGUCACACCACGAGAGUUUAUAACACCCGAAGUCGGUGGGGUAACCGCAAGGAGCCAGCCGCCGAAGGUGGGAUAGAUGAUGGGUAGAGUAAUACAUAGUCCAUAAC
rnacentral:rRNA from 1 species